GGAAGCAGCUUGCUGCUUCGCUGACGAGUGGCGGACGGGUGAGUAAUGUCUGGGAAACUGCCUGAUGGAGGGGGAUAACUACUGGAAACGGUAGCUAAUACCGCAUAAUGUCGCAAGACCAAAGAGGGGGACCUUCGGGCCUCUUGCCAUCGGAUGUGCCCAGAUGGGAUUAGCUUGUUGGUGGGGUAACGGCUCACCAAGGCGACGAUCCCUAGCUGGUCUGAGAGGAUGACCAGCCACACUGAAACUGAGACACGGUCCAGACUCCUACGGGAGGCAGCAGUGGGGAAUAUUGCACAAUGGGCGCAAGCCUGAUGCAGCCAUGCCGCGUGUAUGAAGAAGGCCUUCGGGUUGUAAAGUACUUUCAGCGGGGAGGAAGGGAGUAAAGUUAAUACCUUUGCUCAUCGACGUUACCCGCAGAAGAAGCACCGGCUAACUCCGUGCCAGCAGCCGCGGUAAUACGGAGGGUGCAAGCGUUAAUCGGAAUUACUGGGCGUAAAGCGCACGCAGGCGGUUUGUUAAGUCAGAUGUGAAAUCCCCGGGCUCAACCUGGGAACUGCAUCUGAUACUGGCAAGCUUGAGUCUCGUAGAGGGGGGUAGAAUUCCAGGUGUAGCGGUGAAAUGCGUAGAGAUCUGGAGGAAUACCGGUGGCGAAGGCG
rnacentral:rRNA from 1 species